UGCAAGCGUUACUCGGAAUUACUGGGCGUAAAGCGUGCGUAGGUGGUGAGUUAAGUCUGAUGUGAAAUCCCCGGGCUCAACCUGGGAAUGGCAUUGGAUACUGGCUCGCUAGAGUGCGGUAGAGGGUGGUGGAAUUCCCGGUGUAGCAGUGAAAUGCGUAGAGAUCGGGAGGAACAUCUGUGGCGAAGGCGGCCACCUGGACCAACACUGACACUGAGGCACGAAAGCGUGGGGAGCAAACAGG
rnacentral:rRNA from 1 species